UGGUAGUCCACGCCGUAAACGAUGUCUACUUGGAGGUUGUGGCCUUGAGCCGUGGCUUUCGGAGCUAACGCGUUAAGUAGACCGCCUGGGGAGUACGGUCGCAAGAUUAAAACUCAAAUGAAUUGACGGGGGCCCGCACAAGCGGUGGAGCAUGUGGUUUAAUUCGAUGCAACGCGAAGAACCUUACCUACUCUUGACAUCCAGAGAACUUAGCAGAGAUGCUUUGGUGCCUUCGGGAACUCUGAGACAGGUGCUGCAUGGCUGUCGUCAGCUCGUGUUGUGAAAUGUUGGGUUAAGUCCCGCAACGAGCGCAACCCUUAUCCUUGUUUGCCAGCGAGUAAUGUCGGGAACUCCAGGGAGACUGCCGGUGAUAAACCGGAGGAAGGUGGGGACGACGUCAAGUCAUCAUGGCCCUUACGAGUAGGGCUACACACGUGCUACAAUGGCGCAUACAGAGGGCAGCCAACUCGCGAGAGUGAGCGAAUCCCAAAAAGUGCGUCGUAGUCCGGAUUGGAGUCUGCAACUCGACUCCAUGAAGUCGGAAUCGCUAGUAAUCGUAGAUCAGAAUGCUACGGUGAAUACGUUCCCGGGCCUUGUACACACCGCCCGUCACACCAUGGGAGUUUUUUGCAAAAGAACUG
rnacentral:rRNA from 1 species